rnacentral:hammerhead_ribozyme from 1 species
ACACUGCUGACGAGUCCCAUAAUAGGACGAAACGGCCGUCCAGUGC